rnacentral:rRNA from 1 species
UACUUUUGCCUCUACCACUUGCUACUGUCUCUCCACCUGCCUCCCCGUGCUUCCUCGCUUUCGUUCAACUCCAAUUUUUCCCUGCCCCGCAGCUACAACCCACAAGAUUUCAUCCUUCAGGGCGAUGCAUACUUCGACUCCCAGAUGAUCGAGCUGACAAAGAACGACCAGAGCCAAAAAAUCCAUGACAGCGUGGGCCGCGUGGUGUACGCGCAGCCGGUGCCGCUCUGGGAUGUCGCCACCGGCAAGCUCGCAACAUUCAACACCACCUUCUCCUUCCAAAUCAAGCCCGAGGACGGUGCAGUUACCGGCGACGGCAUGGCUUUCUUCCUGGGCCACUACCCACCGACAAGCAUCCCGAACCCCAUUGAGAAUGGCAGGAACCUCGGCCUCUUCACCAACAACAGCAACACGAAUGCCACCGGCAACGACCGGAUCCUGGCGGUUGAGCUGGACACCUUUUUGAACACCGGCAUAGACACCAGCAACAGCCACAUCGGCAUCGACGUCAACUCCAUAAUCUCGCGGGUGUACACCAAUGUGAUGGUGCCCGGCAAGAACCUGACGUCUGGUCUCCCUAUGACCUGCCAGGUUAGCUAUGACAAUAACACACAAAUCUUAACCGCCACUCUCAAGAUCGGUGACGUGGCCUACCACGUCGACACCAGUGCCGACCUGAGGCAGCUCUUGCCUAGUGUCGUGGCCAUCGGCUUCUCGGCUGCAACCGGGGCAGCCGUCGAGCUACACCGGAUACUGUCUUGGUCAUUUGAGUCCAGCUUAGAUAUGUCUCCACCACCCGAGCCUCAACCACCUGCUGCUACUAAACCUAAACCUAAGAGCCACUCAAAGCUCCCCUGGCCCUCGAUAGUAGCUAUUAUUAUUUCUUGUGGGUGUGUAGUACUAUUAGUUUCUGGGUUGGUCGUGGUCUUCUGUUGCUGCCGGCACACACGAAAUAACGACCUAGAUGAGGCUCCCCCUAGAGCUGGUGUCCCCAUGCAGAUGCAGAUGCAGACGCAGGACGUGGUACUACUACUAGUGGACCCGGUAAACAACUUGGCUAGCAUCGCCAGAAGUUUCCAGUAUGAUGAGCUUGUCGAAGCGACAAACAACUUUGCUGAGGAUACGAUGCUGGGAAGAGGGGGCUCUGCAUCUGUGUAUCGGGGCCGAUUGACUAAUCCAGACAAACUGGUGGCGAUAAAGAGGUUCAAUGGGCAAGCAUCAGACGCGGAAAAGGGGUUAUUCCAGGCUGAAAUCAAGGCCAUCAGUGGACUGAGGCAUCGGAACCUGGUAGAGUUAGUAGGCUGGUGCAAUGAUGUCGGCAACAACCAUCUCUUGCUAGUUUACGAGCUUGUAUCACAGGGUAGCCUCGACGAACACUUGCAUGGGGACAAGAGCUGGUUGUCAUGGCCAAAGAGGUACAGGAUCAUCCUUGACACAGGGUGUGCCCUAGAGUACAUCCACAAACAAUGCAAUGAUUGUGUCUUGCACGGUGACAUUAAACCUUGUAACAUAUUGCUCGACGAAAGGUAUCAAGCUAAGAUAACAGACUUCGGUUUGGCAAGGCUGAUUGAUCACGAAACACAGCAAAAGACGACACAAUGUCCAGCCGGGACCCCAGGGUAUAUAGACCCGGAAUUUUUGGAAACGGGCAAGCGGAGUAGGGAGUCAGAUGUCUACAGCUUUGGCAUCGUUUUGCUGGAGAUUGUUUCAGGCCGGCGUCCUGCUGGCAGCCGAUUGCUAACAGAGGUAAGGAAUCGGCACAGCAGAAACGCGAUCGUUGAAGCAAUAAAUCCACGGCUGCUGGCCGAGUCAACCAGUAGGGAUCACGACGAACGCAAGAUGGAGCGUGUGCUGCUCAUCGGGCUCUGGUGCACACACCCCGACCCAACCAAGCGUCCACUCAUCGCAGAAGCCAUGAAGACACUCGAAUCAGAUGAUGAGAAUUUGGAGAUCCCUGCACUGCCGCAUCAUGUGGCUGAGCCAUUAGGUCACAGCGCCUCCUCAAGUGAGAAUUCUAGCGUGCACGCCUCCACAGCUCAU